CCUACGGGUGGCAGCAGUGGGGAAUAUUGCACAAUGGGGGGAACCCUGAUGCAGCGACGCCGCGUGAGUGAAGAAGUAUUUCGGUAUGUAAAGCUCUGUCAGCAGGGAAGAAGAAAGCCGGUUCCUGACCAAGAAGCCCCGGCUAACUACGGACCAGCAGCCGCGGUAAUACGGAGGGGGCAAGCGUUAUCCGGAUUUACUGGGUGUAAAGGGAUCGUAGACGGGGGGGUAAGUCUGGAGGGAAAGGUAGGGGCCCAACCCCUGUCCUGCUCUGGAAACUGUCCGGCUGGAGUGCAGGAGAGGUAAGUGGAAUUCCGAGUGUAGCGGUGAAAUGCGUAGAUAUUAGGAGGAACACCAGUGGCGAAGGCGGCUUACUGGACUGUAACUGACGUUGAGGCUCGAAAGCGUGGGGAGCAAACAGGAUUAGAUACCCGUGUAGUC
rnacentral:rRNA from 1 species